rnacentral:rRNA from 1 species
CACGUAGGGCGCAAGCGUUGUCCGGAAUUAUUGGGCGUAAAGAGCUCGUAGGCGGUCUGUUACGUCUGCUGUCGAAAACCCGGGGCUUAACCCUGGGCUUGCAGUGGAUACGGGCAGACUAGAGGCAGGUAGGGGGAGAAUGGAAUUCCCGGUGUAGCGGUGAAAUGCGCAGAUAUCGGGAGGAACACCGGUGGCGAAGGCGGUUCUCUGGGCCUGACCUGACGCUGAGGAGCGAAAGCGUGGGGAGCGAACAGG